AAUCGAAGAACGCUCCGCGACUCCGGCUACCCUGUCGCCUCCAUGCAACUCCGGCGAUUCCCCGGCGCCUUCCUCCGCCUAGUACCGCCUCCGCUAGGCCUCGCUCUCAUGGGGGCCUCCGAAUCGCUCCUCUUCAAGCAGCCACCGCGGCCGCAGUGGGCGGACGAGAUCACGACGGUGUCCGAGGGCAGGCGCGGCGACGCCGACCCCCUCGUCCGCCGCAUCCGGUCCCUCACCAUAGUAAGAACGAAACUCUGUAUUCUCCUUUCGAUUCGCCCUUCGGAUUUCCCUUCCUUUUAACCCUUUGAGCUUUGGGUGGGGUUGUGUUGUUGGGGGAUUUGUAGGCUCCGCCGCUGUUGAGCGGUCAGUAGGAAUCGGAGGCAGAGAGCAGCCUCACCGACAUCCUCGUCCGGAAGCCCCUCCACCUCCUCGUCUGCCACCUCCGGAAAUUUGAACCCGAAUGUGCUGGCUGAGCUGUUCUCGAUGUACCGUGAAUGGCAAGAAGAGAAUGCCAAGAAAAUUAGCCGAAAGCAGAAGAGAAAGCACCUUGCUUCAUGUGUUUGCAAUUAUUCUGUCCGGUGGCAUUUAUAUCUCAAAUUCUCAAUGACAAGCUACUUUAUGAUGAGAGGCUCUAAUAUGAUACGUAUUGGUGCUGGAGGAGAUAGAAAACAAGAUAGAAACGGCUGAUGCAUUGGCUGCUAAGCUUCUCCAGCGGUUCAAUUAUUCUCUUACUUCCAUGAAAUCCACAUCGCACAACCUUGCUGAAGAUCGAAGUCGGUGAGUUGAAGGGCAGGUUGCCUGAAGUUAUAACUGUGACGCAUUGUGUAAGAGAAUCGUUGCAGAAGGACCGAAAAGUCUGCGAUCAUCUGUUCAACCUUUCACGGCUGGUAGCGUGGAGGCAGAAGGUAGCGGUUCACUUGACCCAAAACAAGAGUCUUAAAUGCCUUAACUGCUGACAGCAUCGAAGGCAUGGGAAGAAAGUUCAGUAUGAUGCUUAGUAGGUCCUAGAGAAAUACAUUGGAGGCUUUGCCCUGUAUACAUUCUUCGGUGGAUAGGUCAGAUGUCUGAAAUCCAGUCUCUGUUGUUGUAAUGCUCAAGUCCUGUCGGGAUAAAUCCCUUACUAUGAUUUCGGUGUAUCGAAUAAUGGGUGCGUAAUAUUUAUACGGAUGUAUAUGUUGGAUCUGGCUGUGUGUGUGACUCAAAAACACCGGAGAUUUAUUCAGAUUCAAGCCUUCUCAAGGUAAUAGCA